rnacentral:rRNA from 1 species
GCCAGUGGUGAACUCCACAUCCGCAUCCUUUGCUGAGGAUACGGUUAACGGAGCGAAAGCGACGUUCAACCGCAAAACAAGCAGAGGGGGCUUAGUGGUGGGGUGACUGCGUACCUUUUGUAUAAUGGGUCAGCGACUUAUAUUCUGUAGCAAGGUUAACCGAAUAGGGGAGCCGGAGGGAAACCGAGUCUUAAUUGGGCGUUAAGUUGCAGGGUAUAGACCCGAAACCCGGUGAUCUAGCCAUGGGCAGGUUGAAGGUUGGGUAACACUAACUGGAGGACCGAACCGACUAAUGUUGAAAAAUUAGCGGAUGACCUGUGGCUGGGGGUGAAAGGCCAAUCAAACCGGGAGAUAGCUGGUUCUCCCCGAAAGCUAUUUAGGUAGCGCCUCGUGAAUUCAUCUCCGGGGGUAGAGCACUGUUUCGGCUAGGGGGCCAUCCCGGCUUACCAACCCGAUGCAAACUGCGAAUACCGGAGAAUGUUAUCACGGGAGACACACGGCGGGUGCUAACGUCCGUCGUGAAGAGGGAAACAACCCAGACCGCCAGCUAAGGUCCCAAAGUCAUGGUUAAGUGGGAAACGAUGUGGGAAGGCCCAGACAGCCAGGAUGUUGGCUUAGAAGCAGCCAUCAUUUAAAGAAAGCGUAAUAGCUCACUGGUCGAGUCGGCCUGCGCGGAAGAUGUAACGGGGCUAAACCAUGCACCGAAGCUGCGGCAGCGAACGUAUCACCCAAGACAACUUUACGGAGUUGACGAUUGACGGAGCGAAGCGACGUCAAAGCGUUCAUUAAAGUCGAGUUGGCUUAGGGAUACGUUCGUUGGGUAGGGGAGCGUUCUGUAAGCCUGUGAAGGUGUGUCGUGAGGCAUGCUGGAGGUAUCAGAAGUGCGAAUGCUGACAUAAGUAACGAUAAAGCGGGUGAAAAGCC